rnacentral:lncRNA from 1 species
UGAAAUGAUAUUCUCACUAAAACACAUACUAGCAUGAUGUGAAAGGUUUUCUCACAUAGAAAGGUAUCAUAGGUUGAAAGACUUUCUCACCUAAUUGAAUCAAAGACAUGGAGCUAUCUUCAUGAAACUAGCUAGAAUUGGUUGUCCAAGGUCACCUUUUCAUGAGUAAUGAAGUCAAGUAAGAAAUUACUAUUCCGUGGGAAUUCAUGCUUAGCACCCAGUGGAUAUUGAUAGUGAGAUGGAAGCUCUCCCGUUAGUAGAGGCCGGGGUUCCAAAGUAAUCUCAUGAGAUGGAAGCUCCCCCGUUAGUAGAGGCCAGGUUUCUAGUAGCAAUCUCCUUAUCCCAUAAAUACGUGCCCACAUAGGUUGAUUAGCUAGUG